rnacentral:rRNA from 1 species
GCCCAAUAGCUAGCCCCCGAACCAUAAACAACAAAUUACCAUAAAUAACCCCAAACACACUAGUGUUAUAUUAAAUAAAUCAUUCUUCCCCCUUAGUACGGGCGACAGAAAAGGGACUACGGCGCAAUAGAAAAAGUACCGCAAGGGAACGCUGAAAGAGAAAUGAAAGAACCCAGUAAAGCCUUAAAAAGCAGAGAUUUUUACUUGUACCUUUUGCAUCAUGAUUUAGCUAGAAAUGCCCAGGCAAAGAGAACUUUAGUCUGGUUUCCCGAAACUAAGUGAGCUACUCCAAGACAGCCUAUUAAUAGGGCACACCCGUCUCUGUGGCAAAAGAGUGGGAGGAGCUUUGAGUAGAGGUGACAGACCUACCGAACUUAGUUAUAGCUGGUUGCCUGAGAAUUGGAUAGGAGUUCAGCCUCCCGGCUUCUUUUCUCACCCUUGUCCUAACACCCUAUAGACACCCAAAGAAUACCGCGAGAGUUAGUCAAAGGGGGUACAGCCCCUUUGAAAUAAGACACAACUUUUCCAGGAGGGUAAAGAUCAUAAUAAACUAAAGUAAAAUGUUCUGGUGGGCCUAAAAGCAGCCACCCCCCUAGAAAGCGUUAAAGCUCAGACAUACCACUUACCUUCUUAUUCUGAUAACUUAUCUUAACCCCCUAACCUUAUCAGGCCGCCCCAUGCUUUCAUGGGGGUGACCAUGCUAAUAUGAGUAAUAAGAGAGCCUCGACUCUCUCCCCGCACACGUGUAAAUCGGAACGGACAAGCCACCGAACCUUAACGGCCCCAAACAAAGAGGGUAAUGAACAAUAGACUAAACAACUAGAAAAACAUUCAAACUUUAACCGUUAACCCCACACUGGAGUGCCCCCCGGGAAAGACUAAAAGAAAAAGAAGGAACUCGGCAAACACAUAAAGCCUCGCCUGUUUACCAAAAACAUCGCCUCUUGCUGAAAUUAAAGAAUAAGAGGUCCCGCCUGCCCUGUGACUAUAAGUUUAACGGCCGCGGUAUUUUGACCGUGCGAAGGUAGCGCAAUCACUUGUCUUUUAAAUGAAGACCUGUAUGAAUGGCAUAACGAGGGCUUAGCUGUCUCCUUUUUCCGGUCAAUGAAAUUGAUCUCCCCGUGCAGAAGCGGGGAUGAGACCAUAAGACGAGAAGACCCUAUGGAGCUUUAGACACCAAGGUAAGCCAUGUUAAAUACCCCAAAAUAAAGGGCUAAACCAAAUGAAAUUUACCCCCAUGUCUUUGGUUGGGGCGACCGCGGGGAAAUACAAAACCCCCACGUGGAAUGAGAAUACUCUUUCCUACAACUAAGAGCCCCCGCUCUAGUUAACAGAAUUUCUGACCAGCAAGAUCCGGCAACGCCGAUCAACGGACCGAGUUACCCUAGGGAUAACAGCGCAAUCCCCUUUUAGAGCCCAUAUCGACAAGGGGGAUUACGACCUCGAUGUUGGAUCAGGACAUCCUAAUGGUGCAGCCGCUAUUAAGGGUUCGUUUGUUCAACGAUUAAAGUCCUACGUGAUCUGAGUUCAGACCGGAGUAAUCCAGGUCAGUUUCUAUCUAUGCUAUGAUCUUUUCUAGUACGAAAGGACCGAAAAGGAGAGGCCCAUGCUUCAAGUAUGCCUCACCCCCCCCUAAUGAAACAACUAAAAUAGGCAAAAGGGCAUGUCCCCUUUUUGCCUAAAACUACGGCA